rnacentral:ncRNA from 1 species
AUUGUGUUUAUUAGAGCAGGCGAUCUCCUCGGGAGAUGGGGCCGGGCCCUUCUACGGGCAGCAGGUUAAAAAAACCUGUGGGACUAAC